CCGUUUGUCACUUUUCGGUCGCGAAAUUUCAAAUCCCAGUAACGAGAAAUUUGAGUCAUGAGGCCUCGGUCUUCUUACAACAAAUUGUUGUUUUCGGAAUUCUUAUAUUUCGAUUAAUUAUUAUAGAAGGGAUCUCUGAGGACGAUUGACUCGAAGAUCAUUGUCACUUAACUGGGAAUCGUUGUCUUUGCUGGAGGCGAUCCAUCGAAAUUGGCCAACUUAGAGAAAGUUUAGAGUCUGUGCGCGUUCUUAAACCGUUUUGCUUGAUUUAUGUCUUGUUUAGUUAGUUUUUUUGAAAGUUAAUGAACUUUUAAAGUGGUUUCUAAUUAAUCAGUGUUGUGGACAUGUUACAAAUUAUGAGUGACUAGUUGGUUCUGUUAAAUUUUCAUCGUGGUUUUUUAUUUUGAUAUAAUUUACUAUACUUGAAAGAUGAUUACAACAGUUUUGCUUUUACCUAAAAAGAUUCCAACGUCACGAGUAAUUUGUUGCAACCUAAAACACUUAAAUAAUUUAUCAAUCAUUCUGGAAUCAGUGCGCGUUUAAAAGUAUAAAAAUAAAUUUAGUGAAUGUGUUGUGUUCUUCGAAUUUGGAAGGAUUCCAAUCGGGCGUCAUCCAUUUUCAUCGAUGGGUCAGUUGAGUACGGCAUUUAUUUAUUGAAGCUGUCCCGUAAGUCAUGGAAACUGCAAAGGUCUCGCUAAGAAAAUUGGUA